AAACUUUAUUUUAGAGGAGCAAAAAUUUUCAACGCUAUAAUUCAGGAGCUAUUAGACAAUGGAAUGGGAAGUGCACAAAAUGCUCUUUUAGUCGGUAGUUCAGCGGGUGGAGUGGCAACCGCGAUUUAUUGUGACAGAUUUCGACGCCAUUUUUCUAACACUUCUCGAGUAAAGUGUCUUUCAGAUGGUGGAUAUUUUUUCCUAUCGAAAAAGCACCAUCAAGAAAACACAUUUCUGUCCAUGUUUGAUGGUUUGAUCAAAUUACAUGGAUCCAAAAAUGCAUUGCCUACGUCUUGCACUUCGAGAUUAAGUCCAGAAAUGUGUUUCUUCCCGCAAAAUUUGCAAGCUGACAUUCAGACACCCAUCUUUUUUUUAAUGUCCGCGUUUGAUAGAAUUUAGAUCGAGUAUACAAUGGUAUCAAAAGAAUUUCAUGUAUGUGCUAUGGGGAGGAACUGUUCUUCGAAUCAAAUUAAAAUCAUGCAAG